rnacentral:misc_RNA from 1 species
UCUCCGUUGGUGAACCAGCGGAGGGAUCAUUACCGAGUUUACGACUCCCAAACCCCUGUGAACAUACCAUUUGUUGCCUCGGCGGUGCCUGCUUCGGCAGCCCGCCAGAGGACCCAAACCCUUGAUUUUAUACAGUAUCUUCUGAGUAAAUGAUUAAAUAAAUCAAUGCUUUCAACAACGGAUCUCUUGGUUCUG